CAUAAGACAAUGCAUGCAGAUAUUUCGCUACCCUGUCUGCAGUUUUAGGACCCGUUUAAAUGUGCUCGCCUGUGCGUACGGUGGCCUUUAUCGUCAUGCUGCGGCUUUUGAGAAGAAGGAAGCCAAGCUACCAAAAAUGUGUCCAGGAGGAAAACAUGUAUCUGCUUCAUGGGAUCCGCAGCAGUUGCCAGGUAUCUGAUGCCAGUAGUUGACAGCCAAUGGGAUUUCAAGUGUGGAUUUGAAGUCACUGUAGGAAGAAAAUGUAUCGAGCUCCCUUCCACAGAUCUGCAAGGUUUUGGGGGGGAUUUGAAGUCACAAUAGGAAGAUGUUUUGAGCAUCCAUCUACAGCUUUCAGAAACUGACAUUCUCUUCAAAGAUUUCAAGUGGGGAUUUGAAGUCACUAUAGGAAGAUGUUUUGAGCAUCCAGCUACAGGUUAACAGAUUAACGCAAUGAUGCAUGGAUACCAGUCUCGUAUGCAUUGGUGAAAUAAUAAGGCUUGUGACUGAAGUUGAAGCCAUGGCAGAGGAGGUGUGGUGAUCAAAAUGCUGCAAUGUUAAGCUACUGUAUAACAUUGUGUAGUAUUUUAGUGCAAGCAUUUAAUUUCAAGAACAAAGUCUGAACAUUGAGAUUUUAACAUUAUGGAAAGUUAUAUUUUGAUCUUGUCAUGUAUUCGUAUUUUUGUUAAUAAAGUUACACCAAUCUC